GCUCUCGUAGUUCAAUGGAUAGAGUGUUGGCCUCCGAAGCCAAAAAUUCGGGUUCGAGUCCCGACGAGAGCGCCA
rnacentral:tRNA from 1 species